rnacentral:lncRNA from 1 species
GCUUAAUUUUGCUGGAUACAGUAUUCUUGGUUGGAAUCCAUUAUUUUUCAGCGUUUGAAAUACAUUGUUCCAGGAUCUUCUCGCUUUCAAAGUCUGUGAUGAAAAAUCAGUCGUUAACCUAAUUGGUUUACCCCUGAAUGUAAUCUGCCUCCUUUCUCUCAUAGCUUUUAAUAUUCUCUCCUUGUUCUGUAUGUUGGCUAUCUUCAUAAUUAUAUGUCUUGGAGUUGGUCUAUUACAGUUUUGAAUGUUUGGGGUCCUGUAGGCUUCCAGGAUUUGGCAAUCCAUUCCAUCUUUCAUCUCUGGGAAGUUUUCUAGAAUUAUUUCAUUUAAUAUGUUGUCCAUUCCUUUGGUUUGAAUCUCUAUGCCUUCUUCUAUCCCGAUGACUCUCAAAUUUGGUUUUUUUAUGACAUCCCAUAUCUCUUGAAUAGAUUGCUCGUGGGAUUUAAGCAUCUUUUCUGUGUUGACUAUAUUCUUUUCAAGUUGAUAAACUUUGUCUUCAUUAUCUGAUGUUCUGACUUCUACUUGAUCUAGUCUAUUUGUAAUAUUCUCGUUUGAGUUUUUAAUUUGGUUUAUAGUUUCCUGCAUUUCUAGGAUUACUGUUUGAUAUAUUUUUUAAGAUCUCUA